GACGAACGCUGGCGGCGUGCUUAACACAUGCAAGUCGAACGGAAAGGCCCUGCUUUUGUGGGGUGCUCGAGUGGCGAACGGGUGAGUAACACGUGAGUAACCUGCCCUUGACUUUGGGAUAACUUCAGGAAACUGGGGCUAAUACCGGAUAGGCGCUCCUGCUGCAUGGUGGGGGUUGGAAAGCUUCGGCGGUUGGGGCUGGACUCGCGGCUUAUCAGCUUGUUGGUGGGGUAGUGGCUUACCAAGGCUUUGACGGGUAGCCGGCCUGAGAGGGUGACCGGCGACAUUGGGACUGAGAUACGGCCCAGACUCCUACGGGAGGCAGCAGUGGGGAAUAUUGCACAAUGGGCGGAAGCCUGAUGCAGCAACGCCGCGUGCGGGAUGACGGCCUUCGGGUUGUAAACCGCUUUCGCCUGUGACGAAGCGUGAGUGACGGUAAUGGGUAAAGAAGCACCGGCUAACUACGUG
rnacentral:rRNA from 1 species